GGGGCUAUAGGUCUGUGGUAGAGGGCAUGCUUGGCACGCAUGAAGUCCUGGGUUCAAUCCCCAGUGCCUCCA
rnacentral:tRNA from 1 species